rnacentral:piRNA from 1 species
UGUACCACUCGUUAGUAGUCUGGUUGGUGGC